CCUACGGGAGGCAGCAGUGGGGAAUAUUGGACAAUGGGGGAGACCCUGAUGCAGCGACGCCGCGUGAGGGAAGAAGGAAUUCGGGAUGGAAAGCUCCAUUAGCAGGGAAGAAAAGGACGGUACGUGAGUAAGAAUCCCCGGCUAACGACGUUCCAGCAGCCGCGGUAAUACGGAGGGGGCAAGCGUUAUCCGGAUUUACUGGGUGUAAAGGGAGCGUAGACGGCAGUGCAAGUCUGGAGUGAAAGGCGGGGGCUCAACCCCCGGACUGCUCUUGAAACUGUAAGGCUGGAGUGCAGGAGAGGUAAGUGGAAUUCGUGGUGUAGCGGUGAAAUGCGUAGAUAUUAGGAGGAACACCAGUGGCGAAGGCAGCUUACUGGACUGUAACUGACGUUGAGGCUCGAAAGCGUGGGUAGCAAACAGGAUUAGAUACCCGAGUAGUC
rnacentral:rRNA from 1 species